UACGUAGGCAGCGAGCGUUGUUCGGAGUUACUGGGCGUAAAGGGUGUGUAGGCGGUUGUUUUAAGUUUGGUGUGAAAUCUCCCGGCUCCAACUGGGAGGGUGCGCCGAAUACUGAAUGACUUGGAGUGCGGGAGAGGAGAGUGGAAUUCCUGGUGUAGCGGUGAAAUGCGUAGAUAUCAGGAGGAACACCGGUGGUGUAGACGGCUCUCUGGACCGUAACUGACGCUGAGACACGAAAGCGUGGGUAGCAAACAGG
rnacentral:rRNA from 1 species